rnacentral:lncRNA from 1 species
UCACAUCCUUUCCCUCUCAGCCGCCACUCUCUCCUCAUGCUUCCCCAUUUUCUUCUUCAAUCAUCUUUACAUCAUUGCCUCUCUCUUCCCAAUUAUAUUAACAUCUCUAUAUUUUAAGGUUUCUGAAUCUCCUUAUAUCUUUUUGACUUAAAUUUUACGGGUUAUCCUAAUAGUCUUUUUUUAAAAUUUUAUGUCUUAUAUUAUAUAAGCAUUGCGCGGGAGCCUGAAAAUUACAAGGUUGUAAUGUUGGGAUGAAGACCCCUUAAGAAUACACGUUUAUGUACUUGUUUUGUUGCUUUGAAUAUUUCUAUUUUCUUAUUUAUUAAAAAUUCUUGUAAAAAAUUUAUCCAGA